GAUGAGCGCUAGCGGCAGGCUUAACACAUGCAAGUCGAGGGGUAUAGUUCUUCGGAACUAGAGACCGGCGCACGGGUGCGUAACGCGUAUGCAAUCUACCUUUUACAGAGGGAUAGCCCAGAGAAAUUUGGAUUAAUACCUCAUAGUAUGUGAGAAUCGCAUGGUUUUCACAUUAAAGUUCCAACGGUAAAAGAUGAGCAUGCGUCCCAUUAGCUAGAUGGUAAGGUAACGGCUUACCAUGGCGACGAUGGGUAGGGGUCCUGAGAGGGAGAUCCCCCACACUGGUACUGAGACACGGACCAGACUCCUACGGGAGGCAGCAGUGGGGAAUAUUGGACAAUGGGCGAAAGCCUGAUCCAGCAAUGCCGCGUGAGUGAAGAAGGCCU
rnacentral:rRNA from 1 species